rnacentral:rRNA from 1 species
AGCGAACGUUGGCGGCGUGCCUAACACAUGCAAGUCGAACGUGAAUGGGAGCAAUCCCUAGUAAAGUGGCGUACGGGUGAGUAACACGUAGGUAAUCUACCUGUGAGUCUGGAAUAACCUGCCGAAAAGGCGGGCUAAUACUAGAUAGAGCGAGGGGUUCGUAAAGGACUUCUCGGGAAAGGGAGCCCGCAAAGGGCCUUUGCUUACAGAUGAGCCUGCGUCCCAUCAGCUAGUUGGUAGGGUAACGGCCUACCAAGGCUAUGACGGGUAGCUGGUCUGAGAGGAUGAUCAGCCACACUGGAACUGAAACACGGUCCAGACUCCUACGGGAGGCAGCAGUGGGGAAUCUUGCGCAAUGGGCGAAAGCCUGACGCAGCGACGCCGCGUGAGUGAUGAAGGCC